UUGCUAUGAUGAGUUGUAUAAUUAUUGAAAAUAUCUAUGAGAUUUUAAUUUAUGAGCUUUUUAACACUGAGCAAU